UACGUAGGGUGCGAGCGUUGUCCGGAAUUAUUGGGCGUAAAGAGCUCGUAGGCGGUUCGUCGCGUCGGCUGUGAAAACCCGAGGCUCAACCUCGGGCCUGCAGUCGAUACGGGCGGACUGGAGUUCGGCAGGGGAGACUGGAAUUCCUGGUGUAGCGGUGAAAUGCGUAGAUAUCAGGAGGAACACCUGCGGUGUAGACGGCUUACUGGACGGUAACUGACGCUGAGGCACGAAAGCGUGGGUAGCAAACAGG
rnacentral:rRNA from 1 species